rnacentral:rRNA from 1 species
GCGCAAGACAGUUAAACUUGACAUAAAAAACAACAAUGAUCGGACGCAUUACAUACAUCAUCAUAUGUAUGUGUAAUACAUGACCAUGUUUAGUGUUGCUGGAAGACCACUUUCCUUCUCAUCCUGGGCAACAACUUCAGCUUUGUUUUCACACGAUCUCUUUAUAGCAUAUGUCAGGGCACUUCAUUGAUAAUCUGGAUAGCACUCACAUGUUCAUUCAUUUCGUCAUAUAACGGUCAAAGAAAAAAAGUACACUCAAUUUAUCAUUUAAUUAGAGCACCGGUUUAAUCCAUAAAGGCAGCGUGUAGAGCACUCUCUCACACACACAGAGGAAUGCUUGUAUUUCUUAGUUUUUCCACCUACCUAUGGCACAUCAUUUCAAGAAUAUAGUUGUUGAAGCAACUUAUAUGCAAAGCACGACUACUAUCACGACAUCCUUUUUUAGGACAAAGAUAAUUAAUAACACGACAUUCUAUGUCUCAUUGCUAUCUUAUUUAUUUGAUCAUUUUGGGAGCUUCAAUUCCUUGAAUAAUUCAGUGAAUGCCAUCUGCAAUGACCCGUUGUCUGCCAAUGCCAACACUCAUCUAGCCUUCUCCUUCGCCAAUGUCAACCUCCCACUUAGAUUCUCCCCUUCUUCUCCAUGCCCUCAGCCUUCACAAGUUCCUCGUCAUACUUCUCCAUCACCUCCCCGACAUUCAUAUCAUCCACCACGAAUAUAAUUCAUAACAUUCAGGCGGUAAAGGUCAAUGUACACCAAGCCGGUCAAAUAAAUAGUACUUUAGCAUCUCUCAAGGGAAGUUUCAAAUUUCACCUAAAAAUUUCAGUUAAAGUCAUGUCAAUAAUUUAAUCUUCUACCAAUAUUAAAUACUAUAUGAUAAAUGUGAUAGCUUAAAUUCAAAGUAAUAGAUUGGAUCCUCCCUUAACAAUAUGACUGGUAGAUAGUUUUGAGAGGAAAUCUGCAUAUAUUUUAGCAUAGACUUACCCAAAGAAAAAGUCAUUAUAACCGUUCAACAAAUGACCUAUAACCUCUAAUGUACAGAAGGGGAACAGAUCAGAUGACAUGUUUUUGUAAGUCCUAGGAUAACCAAAAAGCACAUCAUCAUGACAUGUCCUAUGUUGGAAGUGUGACACUUAUGACCGUGGUAUGUAAUUGAUAUAUUCCAGUUGGAAGUGUGUCAUUAGAUGCAAUGUGGAGGGAAUAUAUCAAGGAUACUCAUCGGAGUAUAUAUGCGGUGGCACUCGAGCAGCUGAUUACCGGUAGGAGAACGGCAGCCCCACUCGUGUACUGGUCGGCAGUCACAACCAUGCAAUUGUACCCGUCGCUACUGCGUGUAUUUGCAUAUUAGAGAGCUGUAGAUUCAGGAUCCAGAGAUGGAAGAAGAUACCUGGGUCGCCAACGUUACUGUCAUUGAUCCAAAAAUCCCUAGGACUGCCUCCAGCAGCGGGCCCUCCAGUAGCAUGGCACCGAGUGUGCGGCCCUCUCAUCCUCUUCAACACCGCCAACCGCCUCACACUACUCCUUUCCUCGCUUAUCUCCACCGCUGCUCACCUUCCCGCCGGCGCCAUCCGUCGUGCCCUUUGUCUGACAACAAAAAUAUUUUUUUAUCAAUAGAUAAAAGUAAAUUCACUUCUCAAAAAAAUACUAAAUUCAUAAUCCAUAUACGUGUUCAUGAUCUUAUUCCAUACGCAUGUUCAGAAAUGUCCCUAGAACAAAUAAAUUUGAUCUCGCUAUACAUAUGGAAUGUAAAACUUAGAUGGUCAGCCUGAAAUAGUUCAUUUCUGAAUGCAAGUAGUACCGGAAACUACAUAGCAUUCACAACUUCCAUAGUAGCCUAUGGCAUCGGACACUUGCAUAUUUGAAAGGCUCGCAAGCUGAAAGCUACACGUAUCACAAAAAAAAAACUCCAAGGGCAGUUGAUUAUACUCUAACCCAGCCGGCAGUGCCACUCCCUUGAUCAAUCAUGAGUUUGUGCUCUAGAUUCACAAGUUUGCUCAUUCUACACACUGUACACUGCACAUUAAAAUACAUGGAUGAAAGGAAGAGAACCAGGUAGACUUGGUUCUCAAAGCAUCUGAAUAAAAAGAAGCAACAUUUGCUUUUUACGUAACCCAUAUGAAAGAACUUGAAUUAAAAAAAUACAUGGAUGCAUAUUAGUUUUGUUUUCUUAGAAAUACAGGGAUGAAAGGGAGUAGACCACCAAUACCGAGCUCACCAAUAAUCCAUUAUACAUAUUUGCAAUAUAGACCAAAAAUCCAUUCGGUCCUGGAAUUUUAC